CUUUCUUGAUAAGGCUUUUUUACAGAUAUGAUGUUGAUCUCUGUUACAAAAUGCAAUACAACAAGUAUUUAACAACAGUUCAGUGCUUAGACAAUGUGCUUACGAUGAGCAUUUUCUGAUCAAUAAGAAUGAAUGAAGUAGCCAACAAGCAACACAAAAACCAUUCUCCAAAAUGACUUGCUGGUUCAGGAACUGGAAGUGGAGAGCUUUUUCUCUUUAUAUCACUAUUUCAUGUCUGGCCCAGAUCAACAGUGACUCAAAGUUCACCGUUAGCUACCUGGCUGCUGUCCUCAGCAAGUGAUGUAAGCAGAGCAAUUUGGCAGGACCACUCUGAAUUCCUAAAUCACCACUCUGGCAGCUUCUGGUGAGCCUGGAGUCAGCUUCCACAAGAAGGCAGACAAACAUGACUGAAAGACAGCAGAGACUGAGUGCUGUUACCCAAAAGGUGUCACCUUGGGAGAAAGGUCAUGACACAUUGACACAGCAGAGUGUGGGAAACUUAUUCCAUCAUCUUGUUUGGGGAUGAGGACCGCAUGGAUGCAUGCAGAUCUGCUUUCUCUCAUUGGUGCUGCAUUUGCUCAGAUUUAAGUGAAAAAGAUGAAGAGCUUGUUCUCUAUGUUUGCCCUGUGUUAUCUUUUGUAGCAGUAGGUAUCCUGCAGACGGGAUGCUGUUAACUCUUCAGCUGCCUUUCUCUAUCGUAAUCUGCAAAGGAAACAGAAUUAAAAUUUGCAGGGACACAACAGCGUUGCAAUGAGGAAAUACUACGUGAAUCACCACUUCAUCAUAAGGCAGCAUCCCGUGGACUGCAACAUUCAGAAACUUGGAAUUUUUUAGAGUAUUUAUAAAAUGCUGUACCCACCUCCCUUAUUCCAUGCUUUGAAGCUUGCCGUGUUUUUAGAGCAUAUUUAAAAGAAAACAGAACUGGAUCAGCACACUGAAAGUCACCCACAGACAACCUGUUCCACUGAUACUUUACAUUUAUACUGCAUCCUUUGUCCUGAAGGAUUUCUCUGCUUCAUUCUCAUUCCGUGUAGGCUGAUGAGACCGCUCAGGUAUCUGCAGGAGUUAGUCAGGGAACGCUGGGACAUGUGCUUCAUGUUCAGAGGCCAGUAAGGAAAAUUGGGCAUUUGUUAUUUCAUGGGUAGUGACAUCACCAUCUCAGAUCUCCUUAAGGAAAAUAACUUCCACAGCUGAAAACUAGACCUGAAAGCAAACACAAUCUGAAUUCUUAUGGCAAGGAGCUGGAGCGUGCUGUACUUCACAAUGGGUCAUUACUGCUUGCUAUUCCUUCCGUGUUUUGCAUUUACCAUGCUGCACUUCAAACAUUUCUAUGUGAAAUGCAUCACUUUAAAAUCUGUGGAUACAGAAGGUUCUUUCCUGCUUGUUGAAGUAAUUGAGUGAAGUGAAGGUUGAUCAUAAAAUGUAAUGAGAGGGGAAGAGAGAACUCUUAUGCUGGAAAAAGCACUAUAAAUAUUUUCCUGAGAUCAUUAACACAACCUUGUAACACUUCGCCUCGUGCAGCGGAAAGAAUUAUACAAUCAUUUUAUGAACUUUCUAAAAAGUGUUUACAAUUCCAUCCCAAAUAUAUAUGGCUUUUUUUUUUUUUUAAAGCAGAAAAAAAAAAAAAAACCAGCAACCUAUAAUUCUUAAUUCUGCUAUCAAAGUUAUUUCCAGCCUUUGAAGGGAUUCACUUCGCAGGGCCUCGGCAGCGUCAAACAAAUGUUCGACUUUUAUUCUGACACUUCUUGAAGAAUUUGAUUGAAACUAUAUAUGUCGAGAUAACACCCAACAAAGUGCCCCUCUUGCGUUUGUUUCAAGAUAUUUUUGGAAGCAACAGAGACGACCUUGGAUGGAGCUGCUUUUCCAAUUUAGGACUUCAUUUGGUCUAAGAGAGUAAAAUUAUACUCUUCGGUCCUUUUGUGUACCCACAAACAAAACAGUGUUGUUACCUUCUGCUAUUGUAAAAUUGUUUUUCUGUACCUUGUUAGCAGUGUCAAUCUGUUGAGGAUAAGAACUGUUUUAGGUAAUCCACAGUUACAUUCAAACACACAUAUAAAUAGUCCUCCAGUGUAUCACAUGUCCCUGUAAAACAUUGUGCAAUCCAAACGAACAGUGGUCCUUUAUGUAAUGCCUUUCUUUCUUUAUAACUAGUGUUAAUAAAUAAGCUUUAGCCUUUGUCUUUGCUUAUAGACAUCAAGAAUCUGAUUUCAAGCCAGGGCUCACACAGACUUGAUGUAAAGUCUAAAUGAGGAGAGUGGUAAUGCUGGCGAAUGCGCUGCGAUGGGACCGCCACCUGUCUGGAUUGCAGGAGAUAUAUUGUUUGUCAAGCUUCAAGUUUAAAUCCAAGGUUAGGAGCCAGGUCCUCUGCACUUCUAGAGUGGGGGGAUGGUUUUCUUUGGGUUUAGGUUUGCCAGCUCUGCAAUUGUGUCUGCAAAGUUUCAUUAUAUCUAAUCAAUUGUGUUUUAAAUAGUUUGCAUUUAAUACUCUUUAUAAUCAAUAUAUUUUAAUUCAUUUGUACUACUGUCUAUUACAGGCAUACUGCAGUCUAACAAAAUGAAAUUAGUUUGUUGUGAUUAUAAUGCAGCUUCACUGCUGUGAAUAGAAACAGAAUUGACAGAGUACAGUAUUCUUGUCAUUUAUCCUGUAUAAUCAUAUUUACUGUCUUAAAUAAUAUCUUUGUCUUGUGGUAUCUAAUGCACAAAUGCAAAGGAUGAUACAGAAACUACAUCCAGACGUGCCAAUGUGGUCUAUUUGAUAUAAGUGGUAUAUGCAAAUGCAGAUGUAAGUAUACUGCUUAAGAGUAUAUUGUUUAAAUACGUUUGAUUGUGCUCCAAAUUCGAUACUUCUAGUUGUAUUUUACAGUCAGUAUGCUUGAUGGCUAAAGUGUUAACUCUAGAAUAUGCAGUUCCUGAUUUCAUGGCAUUGUCAUAUACAGUAACUGUGGACAGCUGACGGGAAGCAACUGUGAAUCGAUCCUGGGAAUGAACAUUUGAGUCAUUUGGCUGGUUUAUGUCUCCUGUGUAGAGGUGUAGCUUCACAAAAUGCCUACUGCCUGCAGGAAGAACUCCCUCCGAACAGAUUCUCUACCUGAGCAUCAGGGAAGGAAAUAAAUCUGGAACUGGUGACAUUUCAAGGACAAGGAAAACAACCGCUCGGAGAAUUAUCUGAUUCCGUUGGUGUUUAUUUUUACUUAUAUCUAGCAAUCUGCGCUCCAACAGAAGAUGCUUAUUUGCAGAAAAGAAGGCUGUCUCCUGUCUGGACUGGUGCCUGGUCUGGAGAAAAGAUGGCACUAAGGACAAGAGCAACUUCCAACUGCCUGUACCCAUAAAAUGGUGGAAAAUAAAGGGACUGAAAGCAGCAUGAAGGGACGUAAGGUAGGAGCACAGCUGCAGCUUUUGGCAGAAGUACCAGACGUUGGGGAUGAGAAGGUGCCUUGUUGAACUGUGUCCUAUGUCCAAGUCUUGUUUUAAUUAUCAUGCUACUUGCUGUUCUAUAGGCAUUACUUAUAGGGUCCUGUGAUUCGACAAAGCCAAUCACCUGCAGAAUUAGAAAUAAACUACCAAAAGUCUGACAUUACUGUCUACUCCCUGUAAGCAACCAUUGGGCAAUAUUAUCUAUAAAUAAAAUCUCCCAAAUAUUACUCUGAACCACGUAGCAGCUUGGAAGGCCAAAAAACUGUCUUUCAUUACUUCUUCACACUUUUGAAGGAAUUGGUUUAGCAGUGAUGCAUCCCCUCAUGCUCUGACCAACUUCACACUUCAUUUUUUAUCCAAAUCUAAGUAACAGGCUUUGGGGACCUUGUCUGUAUUGCUUCCUACUCAAGUCUGUUCCCAUCUGCCUGAUCCCCUCAGUGACUUUACAAUACUUCUUUUGUGUCACCAGGACUACUGUUGCCUCCCAGUCAAACUUCCCACACUGGUCUCUGAAACUGCACUCCCUGCUUUUGCAUGUUCAGUUUCUGUAUCUGCAAGGGCAUGAAUAAGGGCUUGUUUGAGGACACAAAAUUUACUAUGGCCAUUUUACAAAUUGGGUUCAGGCUGAGCUCUGUGUCCAUGGAAAAUUGCCAAAAAGCAUCUGAUCCUGGUAAUUAGGGGAAGGGCGUGUGAGGAACCUGUGGAAAGAGGUCCCUCACCCUGCCUGACUCACAGCUGGAGUUUCUCCCUGGCAGUUGAGACGGGUGAUGUGAGAGGUUAGUCAAGAGUGGGAGCAGAUUCCUGUGGGGCUUCACCAGCCAAAUUCCUAUCUAGCAAAAGGUUGCUACAGCAACUCUGAGCCGCCCGAGAUACAGAAAUUAUUGUAAUGGCUGCUGAAAUGCCUCGCUACUGCUCUGAGACAGGAUAAGGAAAAUCCUUCCCUUUGAUAUGGAAUGGUUACCUGCCAUGCGUUUAUGUCAGCGCUGUACAAGCACCGGGCUUCCCGAACUUGCUUGGGAGCCAGGGUUACCUUUCAGUCAAAAGCAAGACGCCGUUACUCAUGUGCAGGUAAUGCAAACAUAGAAAUAAUAA
ensembl:lncRNA